CACAUUAAUAUUUUAAGUUCAUUUAGGAAUUGCAGCGAUUUUUACAUUUCACUCCAUGCCCUUAGAAGUGAACGCCUGUCUGUCUGUUUGUCUGAUAUUUUCGUAGAUGUCAUGUACCGAGAGUUGCCGGCCCGACUGGUUGUCUUCUUCCUUCUCCUGGCCAUCCCCCCGAUUAUUGGAACCAUCUUUUACAUAAGGAGGAGGAAACAUGCACAGACAGACCAAAUGCCCUCUGGACCCUCUUUGGAUUAUGGAAAUAUAGAGAUGUUGGACUGAAACGCCGUUCCUAAUUUCUCAGUCACCCAGCAAAAUGCAUGCAAUGACUUGUAACAUCGAUAUGUAUAUAAGGGAAAUAAUAAUUCAGUUACAGUUACUGCAUAUCUUAAAUGUUGGCCUGCCAUUUUUUACUGUUCUGCACAGUAUACAUACUGCUAUGAUGAAACAAUAUUCUGGGCAUUUCUCAUUAGUAACUUUGCUUAAUGCUGGCCUUAAUUGAAAUAAAAACUGAUUCCCAAAAUCCUGAAGAUACGUCCUUUCCCA